rnacentral:rRNA from 1 species
GAUUCCGCAUGGUUUCAUUAUUAAAGGAUUCCGGUAAAGGAUGGGGAUGCGUUCCAUUAGGUUGUUGGUGAGGUAACGGCCCACCAAGCCUUCGAUGGAUAGGGGUUCUGAGAGGAAGGUCCCCCACAUUGGAACUGAGACACGGUCCAAACUCCUACGGGAGGCAGCAGUGAGGAAUAUUGGUCAAUGGGCGUUAGCCUGAACCAGCCAAGUAGCGUGAAGGAUGAAGGCUCUAUGGGUCGUAAACUUCUUUUAUAUAAGAAUAAAGUGCAGUAUGUAUACUGUUUUGUAUGUAUUAUAUGAAUAAGGAUCGGCUAACUCCGUGCCAGCAGCCGCGGUAAUACGGAGGAUCCGAGCGUUAUCCGGAUUUAUUGGGUUUAAAGGGAGCGUAGGUGGACUGGUAAGUCAGUUGUGAAAGUUUGCGGCUCAACCGUAAAAUUG